AUGUGUUAUUAGCUGCUCGUAUUGCCCAUCCAUGUUCUAUAUCAAUUGGCCAUUUUUGCUUCUUAUAAAGAUCUUUAGACAUGAGAUUUAUUUCAGAACCAUGGUCCACCAAGGCAACUAUUGGUUCUUCUAUAUCUCCUACCUUCACCAAUACCUCAGUAGUUGCCCUUGCCCAAUGCUUUCGAGUAUAAUGGCUCAAAGUUUCCAUUUCCUUGUCACUAGAAUCUUCGAAACGUACUCGCUGAUUAUACCCAUUCUUUUCAUUUGUUGGUUGCUUGUAACCAAUAUCAACCUCUUCUUCAUUUCUACA
rnacentral:lncRNA from 1 species